CUACGGGCUGCUCCAGUGGGGAAUAUUGCACAAUGGGCGCAAGCCUGAUGCAGCAACGCCGCGUGAGGGAUGAAGGCCUUCGGGUUGUAAACCUCUUUUAGCAGGGAAGAAGCGAAAGUGACGGUACCUGCAGAAAAAGCACCGGCUAACUACGUGCCAGCAGCCGCGGUAAUACGUAGGGUGCAAGCGUUGUCCGGAAUUAUUGGGCGUAAAGAGCUCGUAGGCGGUUUGUCACGUCUGCUGUGAAAAUCCAAGGCUCAACCUUGGACUUGCAGUGGGUACGGGCAGGCUAGAGUGCGGUAGGGGAGAUGGGAAUUCCUGGUGGAGCGGUGGAAUGCGCAGAUAUCAGGAGGAACACCAAUGGCGAAGGCAAAUCUCUGGGCCGUAACUGACGCUGAGGAGCGAAAGCGUGGGGAGCGAACAGGAUUAGAUACCCCAGUAGUC
rnacentral:rRNA from 1 species